rnacentral:rRNA from 1 species
GACGUAGGAUGCGAGCGUUGUCCGGAUUCAUUGGGCGUAAAGAGUUCGUAGGUGGUUUGUUAAGUCUGGUGUUAAAGAAUGGGGCCUAACCCCAGAAGUGCACUGGAUACUGGCAGACUUGAGUGCGUUAGAGGUGAGUGGAAUUCCCAGUGUAGCGGUGAAAUGCAUAGAUAUUGGGAAGAACACCGGUGGCGUAAGCGACUCACUGGGACGUAACUGACACUGAGGAACGAAAGCCGGGGGAG